UCAAGUGCUCCUUCAGAUCCUAAUUAGUUGGUUUCAUCAGGGUUGGAAAUGAACUUUGAAGGAAGAUCCUAAAGCAAACAUGACUUUGAUAACCGUCAUUAUUUGGACACUCACCACCUGCACCUGGAGUUCUGUGGGGCAGAUUGUGACUCAAUCUGAAGAUCAAACAGUGAAGCCUGAUCAGACUGUCACUAUUCAGUGUAAUCACAAACCAGCAGUAAACUGUAUUAAAAAAGAUACCUCUCAGGAUUGCAUGUCCUGGUACCAUCAGAUUCCUGGAGAAGCUCCUAAACUCCUGAUCUAUUACACAUCAGACAGAGCUUCAGGUGUUUCUUCUAGAUUCAGUGGCAGUGGAAGGGACACAGCUUUUACUCUGACCAUCAGUGGAGUCCAGCCUGAAGAUUCAGGAUUUUAUUACUGUCAGAGUGAACAUGGUAUAAAAAAAGACUCUGGGACCACAGACUGGGUGUUCACACAGUGUAAAAGCAUUGUACAAAAACCUCCUUGGGUGAUAGAGCAGCGCUGCAGCUUUGAGCUUCUGCAGAUGUUGAUGUUGAAGAUCAUUAUUCACCUCACUGACUCACAGAUGAUAAAGAAAAGCUCAUGGCCAAAACCAAUGAAAUGAAAAUAAAUUUCACAUUCUAUCUCAUUUCACAUUCUAGUUAAUUUUGUACCUAAUUAUUUUUGUAAGAUAAUGCAGCAUACCCAUUUAUGUCAUAGAUAAUUUCCCAAA